AAGAUAUGACCUGUCUAUCUCCAUGGCUCAAUGGCCAUCUGAGAAAUUUGAGGACUUCUUGGCUCAGAGGCUCGUCAAAGUGAAUGCAUUGUACCUCACACAUGGAGACGACAGUGAUGAACAAUUUACCAAGUUACAGAUCUACUACCAAGAUCUCCUUUUUGAACACAUUGAACAGCAGAAAGCUUAUGAG